GCGCCAGUGGUGGAAUUGGUAGACACGCCAGAUUUAGGUUCUGGUGCCGAGAGGUGUGGGGGUUCAAGUCCCUCCUGGCGCA
rnacentral:tRNA from 3 species